AGGAGAGGCAGCCGAUGCCCAUCAUCCCCAGCCACCCUCCUGCGACGAAAUGGUAAGGAAGAGAGGAGGGUGGCUGGGGAUGAAGUGUAUGUAUGUAUGCCAGUGUGUGUAUGCCAGUGUAUGUGUGUAUGUAUGCCAGUGUGUGUAUGCCAGUGUAUGUGUGUGUGUAUGCCAGUGUGUAUGCUGGUGUAUGAAUGCCAGUGUAUGUGUGUGUAUGCCAGUGUAUGUGUGUGUGUAUGCCAGUGUAUGAAUGCCAGUGUAUGUGUGUGUAUGCCAGUGUCUGAAUACCAGUGUAUGUGUGUGUGUAUACCAGUGUGUAUGCUGGUGUAUGAAUGCCAGUGUAUGUGUGUGUAUGCCAGUGUAUGUGUGUGUGUAUGCCAGUGUCUGAAUGCCAGUGUAUGUGUGUGUAUGCCAGUGUCUGAAUACCAGUGUAUG